UUUGGUGAAGGAAAUGGAUUCCGCUUCGGGAGGGCUUCGCGGCCUAUCAGCUAGUUGGUGGGGUAACGGCCCACCAAGGCAUCGACGGGUAGCUGGUCUGAGAGGACGAUCAGCCACACUGGGACUGAGACACGGCCCAGACUCCGUACGGGAGGCAGCAGGUGGGGAAUCUUGCGCAAUGGGCGAAAGCCUGACGCAGCAACGCCGCGUGGGGAUGAAGGCUCUCGGGUUGUAAACCCCUUUCAGCAGGGACGAAUCAAGACGGUACCUGCAGAAGAAGCCCCGGCUAACUACGUG
rnacentral:rRNA from 1 species